GCCGGGAUGGCGGAACUGGCAGACGCAAGGGACUUAAAAUCCCUCGGGGCGCAAUCCCUGUGCGGGUUCGAUUCCCGCUCCCGGCA
rnacentral:tRNA from 1 species